AGCCGAUUGGCCGUCCGAGUCCAGCCCCCAGGUUCUGCAGAGAGUCGCGGAGGAGCUUGGUAGCUGGUGGCGCUCGCAGGGUUUGUCUCUCAGGGAACCAGGGACGCGCUCCUGCCGUCCUCCUGGGCCAGCGGACCAGCCCUCCGCACCCCCAAGGGAUCCAGAGCUGAAAAGCGCCUGGAAACUCCUCUCCCUGAUCCGUCGCGCGCCCUGCGCAUUCUAGGCACUACCCAGGGGUCUUUGCCGGGGACAGAGGGCCUCGGAGGAGAGACUCGUUUAACUCCAGAGACGUAGCCCCUCUACCCACCUACUGGUCGAAAAGCGCCUAAGUAAGGCCAGGGGAUGGGGAAGGCGGCAGCUGCACCAAGACCAGAAGGAAGGAGGGGGCUGAGGAACCGCGCCCAGGUGGUGGAAGGGCAAAAGAACUCAAUUUACAAGUAGUGCUUUAAGGAAGAAACCAGGCUCUACCUCCAGUGGGGGGAGUAGUGGGGCGGACUACUCCUCUUAGUGCUAAUACUCGACUAUGCUGGUAAAAAGGAUCUGUCAAGAAUCUCAUAAAGUACAGUUAAUGUAAGGUGGAGAAGGACAUAGGAGAACGAUUCUGAUCACUCUUGGGAGCUUCAGAAUUUCCUUUCAAAAAUCAAUCUCUCGAACCAGGUGAAUUCCCUUUGCUCACCAUGCAAAUGCAUUAAAUAAACAAACAAGGACAGGAUAACAGUCUUCUUGGGGGCAAUGUUGCAGGCUACAAACUGAAACCCUUUGUGAUCUGGCACAGUGAGAACCUCAAGGCCUUUACAAAUAACAAUAAGCACACACUGCCAUUGACUACAGGAGAAAUAAGAAGUCACGGAUGACCCGGUUCCUCUUCCAAGCUGCCUCCUGAAUUGCUAUGCCAGAGAAAUGGAGAAUAACACACCUUUCAAGAUUUUGCUUAUUUGAUAAAGCUCCCAGACAACCUCUUUUUGUUGGUGUUCCUCAUCCCAAUAUCAAAAUGGUGUUUCUUCCUCCAAACACUACUUCUUUCAUCCAACCAAUGGAUCAAAGAGUUAUAACAGCUUUUAAGGCCUGCUACCUGAAGAGGACCUUUGUCCAGACUAUUGCUGCAACUGAGGGAGAACUGAGAAGACACUGAGGCAAUUCUGGAAGGAUUACAACAUCUAUGACUGCAUCAAGAACCUUGCUUGUGCAUGGGGUUAUGUCACCAAGGAGUGUAUGAAUGGCAUCUGAAAGAAGUUACUUAAGAGGUUCAUUCAUGACUUCAAAAGAUUUGCCAAGAAUGAGGAGGUUGUAAAAAUCAACAAGGCUCUGGUUGAGACGGCAGACAACUUUACCCUGAGUGUGGAUGAGGAUGACACUGAGGAACUCCUAGAGGUGGCUCCUGAGGAACUGACUAGUGAGGACUUGUUGGAACUGGAACAGGAGUGUGUAGCUGAAGAAGAGGCAAGAGAAAAGGAAACUGCAGGAGAAGAAAGAGAAGAACCCACAGUGACGGGGUUUAGCAGGAGCUUUUGCAGACCUCAACAAGCUCCUUAAAAUGUGUGAAAACAUAGACCCCCAACACUGAAAGGUUUUCAUUCAUAGAGAGGAACGUUCACGGUGCAUUACCUGCUUACAAGCAAAUCUAUAAUGAAUAAAAGAAACAAACCAAGCAAACCACCAUGGACACAUUUCUGAAAAGAAUAACACCUUCUAAAGAAGAGCCUCAGGCAGGUUCGUCAGGAGAAGAAGGCAUUGUUAGCACAGGUGAUGACAGCUCCAUGAGUGUUACUGUCCCUGAAGACCUUCCAGUGGGAGAAGAUGUGGAGGUGGAAGCCAAUGAUAUUGAUCAUCCUGACCCUGUGUAGGCCUAGGCUAAUGUGUGUGUUUAUGUCUUCAUUUU